GCUUUCAUGUGGCGCAGUUGGUGGAGCAUUGGGCUAACAACGCAAAUGUCUUGGGUUCAAAUCCCAGGGAUUUG